UGAUACGUUGGCGCAUUUCUGG
rnacentral:miRNA from 1 species